UACGUAGGGUGCAAGCGUUGUCCGGAAUUAUUGGGCGUAAAGAGCUCGUAGGCGGUCUGUCGCGUCUGCUGUGAAAACUCGGGGCUUAACCCCGGGCCUGCAGUGGGUACGGGCAGACUAGAGUGCGGUAGGGGAGACUGGAAUUCCUGGUGUAGCGGUGAAAUGCGCAGAUAUCAGGAGGAACACCGGUGGCGAAGGCAGAUCUCUGGGCCGUAACUGACGCUGGAGGAGCGAAAGCCAUGGGGAGCGAACAGG
rnacentral:rRNA from 1 species